AUUGAACGCUGGCGGCAUGCCUUACACAUGCAAGUCGAACGGCAGCACGGGUGCUUGCACCUGGUGGCGAGUGGCGAACGGGUGAGUAAUACAUCGGAACAUGUCCUGUAGUGGGGGAUAGCCCGGCGAAAGCCGGAUUAAUACCGCAUACGAUCUACGGAUGAAAGCGGGGGACCUUCGGGCCUCGCGCUAUAGGGUUGGCCGAUGGCUGAUUAGCUAGUUGGUGGGGUAAAGGCCUACCAAGGCGACGAUCAGUAGCUGGUCUGAGAGGACGACCAGCCACACUGGGACUGAGACACGGCCCAGACUCCUACGGGAGGCAGCAGUGGGGAAUUUUGGACAAUGGGCGAAAGCCUGAUCCAGCAAUGCCGCGUGUGUGAUGAAGGCCUUCGGGUUGUAAAGCACUUUUGUCCGGAAAGAAAUCCUUGGCUCUAAUACAGUCGGGGGAUGACGGUACCGGAAGAAUAAGCACCGGCUAACUACGUG
rnacentral:rRNA from 1 species